rnacentral:rRNA from 1 species
GUGAGGAAUAUUGGUCAAUGGGCGAGAGCCUGAACCAGCCAAAUCGCGUGAAGGAUGAAGGUAUUAUGUAUUGUAAACUUCUUUUAUCGGGGAAUAAAGUGCGGGACGUGUCCCGUUUUGUAUGUACCCGAAGAAUAAGGAUCGGCUAACUCCGUGCCAGCAGCCGCGGUAAUACGGAGGAUCCAAGCGUUAUCCGGAUUUAUUGGGUUUAAAGGGUGCGUAGGCGGACUGUCAAGUCAGCGGUGAAAGUCCAUGGCUCAACCAUGGAAUUGCCGUUGAAACUGUCGGUCUUGAGUGUAGAUGAGGUAAGCGGAAUUCGUAGUGUAGCGGUGAAAUGCUUAGAUAUUACGAAGAACUCCAAUUGCGUAGGCAGCUUACCAGGCUACAACUGACGCUGAGGCACGAAGGUGCGGGGAUCAAACAGGAUUAGAUACCCUAGUAGUCC